UUGCUCCCUUCGGCAGAAAGUAUUCUAAAAUUGGAAACAUACAGAGAAAAUUAGCAUGGCACCUUUGCAAGGAUGACAACCAAAUUUGUAAAGCGUUCCAUAUUUUU
ensembl:snRNA U6 U6 spliceosomal RNA